rnacentral:rRNA from 1 species
UACGUAGGGGGCUAGCGUUGUCCGGAAUCAUUGGGCGUAAAGAGCGUGUAGGCGGCUUUACAGGUCCGUUGUGAAAACUCGAGGCUCAACCUCGAGACGCCGGUGGAAACCGUAAGGCUAGAGUCCGGAAGAGGAGAGUGGAAUUCCUGGUGUAGCGGUGAAAUGCGCAGAUAUCAGGAGGAACACCCGUGGCGAAAGCGGCUCUCUGGGACGGUACUGACGCUGAGACGCGAAAGCGUGGGGAGCGAACAGG